UGGAGAUCAAUAAGACCCCCAUAUUACUAUAAGGGAGGUUUAAAACAUGUGGCAAGUUGUGCAUGUUUACUAAAUGGUUACUAAAUGGUUAAAAUUAGCAACUGCAAAACCAUUGCCCAGUCUUUAGAAGAAAUAACAAAGGGGGACAAAGUCAAAUGAAAAUGUACCCUCCCAUGGCCAGCAGGUGGGGGACUUAUCUAUUGCAUUAAAGGUGAGGACCUAGAAUUGAAAAGUGGGGACCGUAAUUAUAAUAUUCAGGAGAGACAUAGUGUCCCACCCAGCCCCCACCCCCACCCCCACCCAUGGGAGGUGGCUGUAAUGAACUUUAAUAAUGGGGGAUUGGACAUAUUAUUAUUUACCUCUUCCUAUUAGUGGCAUAUCCACAAUCCCUCCCCCACAAGGUACCCAAUCCUGUAGUCACCCCCCAUUAAAAAUAGUGGACCCUAGUGUCGCCACCCCGAUCCUAAUAAUAGGGUGUGGGGACCAUAUACUAAUACCUGUUAUACUCAUACCUGUUUCUUCUUAUUUAUCUUUUCUUUAACCUAAAAAACACCAAAUGAAAAUCCAUGAAUCCUGAUGCAAUUAAUGAAAAAAAAAAUCACUAUUUGCAAAAAUUUCUUCGUGCCCAUGGGGCCAUUUCUUAAGCCUAGUUUUAAACUUCCCUUAUAGUAUUAUAGUUGCUAGUUUUUCAAAAUUCUUUUUUUUAAUUUUUGUUAUGAAUUAAAGGUCAGUGCAUAUGUUUAUAAGAAACAGAGAGAGAAGCCAGAAGGUUUGUAACAGUACAGUAUUGGACAGGCUCUGCAUGCGGGCACGCUCAUGAACUGGCUUAGGACUGUGAGAGGAUCAUAACUUCACCAAGAUAGUGUUAGGGGGUUCGUGUGUUGUGUGCCCCGUGUCUGGCUCGUAUUUAUGGUAGGCUCAUUUCCUCAGACAAGUUGGCAGGAAUGUUUUGCGAUCUGUGGGUGGGUUUCCCCCUUUGAGGGUUCCUUAUUUUUUCAGUCAUGAGUAUGUGGUCCCUAGUUGUCAGUGUCCGUCUAAGGUCACGUUGGUUCAUGAGUCUAGACCGCAGUUGAGUCGCUCUUGGGUUGGGGGAUUUGGUUGUCAAUGCCUUGUCCUCUCUGGGGACAUGUCCGAUCGUGCUGUGGUGGUGGUUCUUAGUUUGGCCUUAGAUCUUUAGUCCUUAUAUUCUAUGUGUCUUGCCCGAAAGCCUGAUAGAAAGGUGUAGUGGUGGUAAGAAUAUGCAUUGUGGAGGUGAAUGGGUCUUUACAGGUUAUGAGAGUAGAAGUAUGAGUAUUGUUAGAAGGAAGGGUAGAGGAGUAGUUGAGUGAGGGGCGAGGAUAGGGGAUUUGCAUUGUGUUGCGGGUUGGAGUGGGUGGUAUUUGGUGUCUAGCGUAGGGGAGAUUAUAGUUGCUAGUUUUAAAUCUGUGAAUUGGAGUUAUGAAAGGACUAGAUAACUCUAACACCACAAAUUUGAGGGGCAACCUCUGGGGAAAUCUACUUAAGAACACAAUAGGUGUAGAUAAAAUGAAACUUAACUUUUGAUAGUAAAAAUGAUCUUGAAAAUUUUAGAUUGUAAGUCAUCAAUCAUAAUAUUAAAUCUAUCUUCAACUUUCUUCAAAUCUAUCCUCUAUCUCCUAAACUUAAAUCCCUUUAUUUCCAGGAUGCAGAUCACAUAAAAAAAAAAUGAAAAAAAGUCCUUUAGAACUAGGAAGAAAUACAUAUUUAUGAAAUGGGACAGAUCAGUGCCUGUAUAGAGGAAAGCAACAAAUAAUAGAUAAGAUAUAGGAACCCUAAGAAAGGGUAUAGACUCCCUUCAAGGUACAAGAUUAAAAAAAAAAAAGCAAAGUUGCCUUAAUUUAAAGAGAUCAUUAUUCAAGUAAAUCUGGCUUAUAAAUUAUAUUGUCUGAGAUUGAGACCCUCAAAGCAUUUAGGGUUUUAGAUACAAUCAGAUUAAUUGGAUUAAUUCACUAGCCAAUGAUAAACCAAUGCCUUCUAAUUAGUCAAUACAAUCUAGGAGCGAAGGAGGAACUUUGCAAUAUGUUAAUCCCAAUGAUUCUAUCUCACUCCUUGCCUCUAAAAUAGCCGGCAUGGUUGAAGGACAAUGGACGAGUUAUAAAAUACAUUAAGCCACCUGGGAGGGCUUUAGAAACACUAGAGAGUGCGAUCACAUGAUCAGAAAGCUACUUAUUGGUGAGUAUGGCUUUAUAACCAAGGGCGGCUGAUUGGGGGCUGUGUGUUAUGAAAUAAACACAUCAAAAGGGCAAAACAAUGUGUAUAGAAUGAAUAUUUGAAAAGUCUCUCAUCAAAUAGAUAUUAGUUGCGCUGUGUUAUUAAAAACAAUGAACUCUAUAAACUUCAAUCUGAAGACUAUUAAAGAUUCUACAGCUUAUAUAGGUUUGUUCGAUAAAUCUUUCUUAUUCAUCUCUAUAGCCCCUUUUGGCAGAGGGAAACACCUCCCUUAGACUUAUCCCAUUUGUUACUAGAUUUAACCACUUCUUGUCAGUCAUAAGCUAUUUCAUUAAUAGCUAACUCCCAUGGGUUUUUAUUCCCUCACUUGCUCGCUAUGAUUUUCUACGUAUAUAAAUGUUAUCAAUGGAUAAUGCUAGAAAUAUGUUAUCAAUGAACCUCUUCCUGUGCUGCAAAUAAGGGCUAUUGUUGUAUUUGUUAAUGCUCUAGUAAUGUGGGCAUGCUUAAUCAAAUUAAAUUACUUUAAUGGAAAUUGUAUUACAAAUAAAAGAUUAUUAAUAUUA